rnacentral:rRNA from 1 species
AUAGAGACUCAGAGCUGCAUAUCAAUAAGCGGAGGAAAAGAAACUAACAAGGAUUCCCCUAGUAACGGCGAGUGAAGCGGGAAGAGCUCAAAUUUGAAAUCUUCAAGGUUCUACCUUGACGAAUUGUAGUUUAUAGAAGUGUUUUCUGUUAGUGGAGUGGCAAAAGUUCUUUGGAAUAGGACAUCAUAGAGGGUGAGAAUCCCGUAUUUGGUCAUUCCUCCUAGCGUUGUGAUACACUUUCAACGAGUCGGAUUGUUUGGGAAUGCAGUCCAAAAUGGGUGGUAAAUUUCAUCUAAAGCUAAAUAUUGGCGAGAGACCGAUAGCGAACAAGUACCGUGAGGGAAAGGUGAAAAGAACUUUGAAAAGAGAGUUAAACAGUACGUGAAAUUGUCAAAAGGGAAGCGUUUGACACCAGUGUUGUUUUUCCGAAAAUCAAUUACGAAUGUUUUGUUUUUGAGGAGUUAUGACUUCAUCGGCUUGCUCCUUUCUUUAUGAAACUUUCUUAAUGCACUUUUCGGUUAACAAGUCAACGUCAAUUUCUUUUGUUGUAAAAGAGUAUGAGGAAGGUGGCUUUCUUUUCGGAGAAAGUGUUUAUAGCCUUGUAGCCUCUGCAAUCGGAGAGAUUGAGGUCUGCAGCGUAGAUCCUUCGGGGUUAGAUACAUUUGUGCUAAGUUAUAGCUUUUCAUAGACAACUUGUUGACUAUGUUUAGUCUUGUAGCUUACUUGCUUACUGCUAUUUUACCUACGCUUAGGAUGUUGACGAGACUGUCGAUCUC